UAACACAUGCAAGUCGAACGCAACCUUCGGGUUGAGUGGCGGACGGGUGAGUAACGCGUGAGAAUCUGCCUUGGGGUCGGGGACAACCACUGGAAACGGUGGCUAAUACCGGAUAAGCCUUUGGGUAAAAGAUUUAUUGCCCCAAGAGGAGCUCGCGUCUGAUUAGCUAGUUGGUGAGGUAAAAGCUCACCAAGGCAGCGAUCAGUAGCUGGUCUGAGAGGACGAUCAGCCACACUGGGACUGAGACACGGCCCAGACUCCUACGGGAGGCAGCAGUGGGAAUUUUCCGCAAUGGGCGAAAGCCUGACGGAGCAAGACCGCGUGAGGGAGGAAGGCUCUUGGGUUGUAAACCUCUUUUCUCAGGGAAGAAGCUCUGACGGUACCUGAGGAAUCAGCCUCGGCUAACUCCGUGCCAGCAGCCGCGGUAAUACGGAGGAGGCAAGCGUUAUCCGGAAUUAUUGGGCGUAAAGCGUCCGCAGGUGGCGAUUCAAGUCUGCUGUCAAAGCACGGGGCUUAACUCCGUUAAGGCAGUGGAAACUGAAUAGCUAGAGUGCCGUACGGGUAGAGGGAAUUCCCGGUGUAGCGGUGAAAUGCGUAGAGAUCGGGAAGAACAUCGGUGGCGAAAGCGCUCUACUGGACGGCAACUGACACUCAGGGACGAAAGCUAGGGGAGCGAAUGGGAUUAGAUACCCCAGUAGUCCUAGCUGUAAACGAUGGAUACUAGGUGUAGCUUGUAUCGACCCGAGCUGUGCCGAAGCUAACGCGUUAAGUAUCCCGCCUGGGGAGUACGCACGCAAGUGUGAAACUCAAAGGAAUUGACGGGGGCCCGCACAAGCGGUGGAGUAUGUGGUUUAAUUCGAUGCAACGCGAAGAACCUUACCAGGGCUUGACAUGUCCGGAAUCACCGGG
rnacentral:rRNA from 1 species